AAACUUGAGAGUUUGAUCCUGGCUCAGAACGAACGCUGGCGGCAUGCCUAACACAUGCAAGUCGAACGAACCCUUCGGGGUUAGUGGCGCACGGGUGCGUAACGCGUGGG
rnacentral:rRNA from 1 species